UAAAAUUAAAUGUACCAUUAUAUGCUCACCGUAGAUCUAAAUGCUGUUUAAAGAGUCCAAAUGGUAUCAAGCUGCUUGAGUGGCACGUUAAAACUACGCAAAACCAAAUCUUGUUUAAAAACUGGUUUUAAAAUAACUACUGGAUUUUCUGGAAAAGAUGUGAUCAGUUUUCAUCUUGUUGAGCGUUUUUUCACUAGUGCAACUUUGGAUUUUUUAUGAAACUUUUGGUUCCUUAAUGAACACCUCGCUCCAUGCUGGAAGCAAUAAGCACAAAGCUUUUAAAGACAUUCUGACUGGACUAAUUGAGGUCCACUCGCCAAGGCUGAGGAUGUGUAACCCUUAAACGGUCUUCAUUUUCAAAGGAAAUAUCAGCUGCCUUGGAAUAUCAGAGGAACCGGUCAUGACCUGGAGCAAACCGAGGAGCUUCCCUUCUAUUUCUGGAUGGUUUAGGAAUAGUCGACUCACCACCGUGCCUACUCAGUAAAGGAAUCCACUUGGAAACUUGAAAAUCGUCCUGAUUUAUUAUGAUUUUUCCACAAAUAUGUGUCCUGUUAGAUGUUUUUAAUUAAAUACUAAGCUUUUUAAUUUGUAAGGGCUGUUUUUUA